UUUAUUUCUUUUUUUCAGCCUUUUUUUCUUCUCUUUUCUUCCUUUCUUUCUUCCUCCCCGAUCAGCCCCCCGCCGAUUUCUCUGCUGCUGCCGGUGCUUUCUCCGCCUGCGGUGCAACGGCCGACGACGGCGACUAGAUGGGAGUAUAACGGUGGUGGCGGUUUGACGACGCACGGUGGCGAUGAGGCUGCUGUUUUUGCUUGAUUUUUCUCUCAAAAAUUUUGUUAUUUUUUUUCUUUUUGCUUCCUUGCUUGGCUGCUGAAUUGGGGUUUGAAAACCCUUUAAAUUGUUGAUUUUUUUUCUUUUUUGCAGGUAGCAGGUGGUUAGGGGAGAGGGAGGCCAUGCAUUAGGUCGGCUGUCGCAGUGUAGGUGCGCAACUUGCACUGUCGGAUGCCAGACGGACCAAAUUGCAAACACAGCAAAACUUUUGGGGCCAAAAUAUAAUUUUGAGAAAAUUUAGGGCUUAAAAUGUAAUUUCAAAAAGCUUAGGGGUCAAAAUAUAAUUUUAGGAAAUUUUAGGGUCAAAAUGCAAUUUUAAAAAUUUUAGGGGUCAAAAUGUAAUUUUUUAUUUUUUGUAUUUUUUUGAAAUUUAAAAAAAAACACGAAAUCAAGCCGGACAAAAUUCAGUGAUUACAGCUGCCCCUCUUUGCUCAUCGCUGUGAAACAGGGAUAGAACAAAGACUUAAAAGCACUGAAUUUUGUUCGACCAUCCAAAA